CUCGUAUUUACUUGGAAUUGAAGCGUAAUCGACUAGUUAAUAACUGCAUUCCAGCAUAGUAUAAUGACAUAAACAAGAUUGUAUAUUAUUGGGAUACUACAUAAAUUUUUACGGUUUUUGUUCGUUUUAAUACAUUCCAUCAAAUUAUAUUGUUUCUGGACGAUAUUUGAGUAUACAAUUUAUCUUUGAGUAACCUUACAACGAAAAUUUUGAAGAUCGCAUUAUCGCGAUGUCGACCAGUUGCUGUCAGAAGAGGAAAACAAUGGAUAAAGCCUCGUCGCAGUUCCUUCGCGUCCACUGUGCAGAUUUGGAGGAAAUAUUAUCCACAGCAGUGCAAACUAUCAAAAUUUACUUGAAAUUUUAGAUACGAGUAUUUCAAACCCUAUCGAAGAUAACAAAUGUCAUAAUGAUGAAAACGCAGAAGAAUUGUGCCAUAUGGAAAAUAGAGGUGUUCAACGAACUGUUUGACUGUCCAUAUUUAACAUUUUACAAAUGAUUCCACGAUGAAAUGCUGAAUUCCAACAAUGCACUUACUACCAAAGUAAUUAUAAAACAGACGAUUGACGAGCACCUUUCUGCGUUUUCAAGGAGAAUUGUUUUCACUUGCAGUUGAAGGAGCAGUUCAUUGGAAAGUGGAAAACGUGAGAAUUAUGGAGGCAGAUGUAACUCUGAAAAGAGGGAAAAGCAGAGAAGAAGCAAGGAUGAAGCAAAAUGAGAGUAAAUUGCGUUUUAUCUGGAACUUGUCAGUAAUCUCACCAGUGCCAGCUGUCCUAUCAAACGUUUUCCUUGAACGUGAGAGUAGCAAAGGUUAUGUACUUGUAUGUCAGAUAAUUGUACGAUGUAGACAAAAUGAUAUACGUGGAUUCAACUGUAGAUUUAAAGCAAUAAAUACUUAUUGUUUUAUGGUUUUAACCGAAUCAUUUGUGCAAAUAAAUAUUUAGAGGAUCAGCCGUUCCUGGCAUUAAGUGAAAGGAUAAUAUAAUUCGACAAAUAUUUGCGAUCUUGUAAAUUUCAUUUGUUAGAAGUCGGACGAUGUUGGAGGCAUUUCAUAAUGUACUCGGAUAAGCCUGAGAUUUAGAAACUGGGUGUCUCAUAUAUUUUUUGACUCGUGUGGUUGACUGUUGCAAGAAUUGUGAAAUUAUUUGGCAUGCCGUGAUCGUUGUGCCAGUUUGCAUUAAAAGCUUCCAAAGAAGGAGAAAAAAAUGUGAAAAUUGAGGAGAAGUUGUAAAAUUCGAUGAAAAUGAGGCUAUUGUGUUAUCACCUUCUGGCUUUCAUAGUAACCUAGUGUAACCACUUGAAGGUCUUAUGAAAAGACGGUUAUUAACUAUGUACGAAU